CGGGGAUCAGCCCAUUAAGUUAUGUGUGUUUUAGUGGAACGCUCUGGGAAGUGCGAACGUAGAGGGUGAUAUUCCCGUACACGAAAGGGCACACAUAAUGAUGACGAGUAGGGCGAGGCACGUGAAACCUUGUCUGAAUAUGGGGGGACCAUCCUCCAAGGCUAAAUACUCCUGACUGACCGAUAGUGAACCAGUACCGUGAGGGAAAGGCGAAAAGAACCCCUGUGAGGGGAGUGAAAUAGAUCCUGAAACCGCAUGCAUACAAGCAGUGGGAGCACCUUCGUGGUGUGACUGCGUACCUUUUGUAUAAUGGGUCAGCGACUUAUAUUCAGUAGCGAGGUUAACCGUAUAGGGGAGCCGUAGAGAAAUCGAGUCUUAAUAGGGCGUUUAGUUGCUGGGUAUAGACCCGAAACCAGGCGAUCUAUCCAUGAGCAGGUUGAAGGUUGGGUAACACUAACUGGAGGACCGAACCCACUGUCGUUGAAAAGCCAGGGGAUGACUUGUGGAUAGGGGUGAAAGGCUAAUCAAGCCUGGUGAUAGCUGGUUCUCCCCGAAAGCUAUUUAGGUAGCGCCUCGGACGAAUACCAUAGGGGGUAGAGCACUGUUUCGGCUAGGGGGUCAUCCCGACUUACCAAACCGAUGCAAACUCCGAAUACCUAUGAGUACUAUCCGGGAGACAGACUGCGGGUGCUAACGUCCGUAGUCAAGAGGAAAACAAUCCAGACCGCCAGCUAAGGCCCCAAAAUCAUAGUUAAGUGGGAAACGAUGUGGGAAGGCAUAGACAGCUAGGAGGUUGGCUUAGAAGCAGCCACCCUUUAAAGAAAGCGUAAUAGCUCACUAGUCGAGUCGGCCUGCGCGGAAGAUGUAACGGGGCUAAAACUAUGUGCCGAAGCUGCGGAUGUAUACUUUGUAUACGUGGUAGGGGAGCGUUCUGUAAGCCGAUGAAGGUGUGUUGAGAAGCAUGCUGGAGGUAUCAGAAGUGCGAAUGCUGACGUGAGUAACGACAAAACGGGUGAAAAACCCGUUCGCCGAAAGACCAAGGGUUCCAGUCCAACGUUAAUCGGGGCUGGGUGAGUCGACCCCUAAGGCGAGGCCGAAAGGCGUAGUCGAUGGGAAAAUGGUUAAUAUUCCAUUACUUCUGUGUAAUGCGAUGAGAGGACGGAGAAGGCUAAAUCAGCCUGGCGUUGGUUGUCCAGGUGAAAGGAUGUAGGCAUGUAUCUUAGGCAAAUCCGGGGUACUCUAUGCUGAGAUCUGAUAGCAAGCUGUACUUGUACAGCGAAGUGGUUGAUGCCAUGCUUCCAGGAAAAGUCUCUAAGCUUCAGUUACACAGGAAUCGUACCCGAAACCGACACAGGUGGUCAGGUCGAGUAGACCAAGGCGCUUGAGAGAACUCUGCUGAAGGAACUAGGCAAAAUGGUACCGUAACUUCGGGAGAAGGUACGCUGUUGUUGGUGAUGGAACUCGCUUCCUGAGCUGACGACAGCCGCAGAAACCAGGCCGCUGCAACUGUUUAUUAAAAACAUAGCACUCUGCAAACACGAAAGUGGACGUAUAGGGUGUGAUGCCUGCCCGGUGCUGGAAGGUUAAUUGAUGGGGUUAGCGUAAGCGAAGCUCUUGAUCGAAGCCCCAGUAAACGGCGGCCGUAACUAUAACGGUCCUAAGGUAGCGAAAUUCCUUGUCGGGUAAGUUCCGACCUGCACGAAUGGCAUAAUGAUGGCGGCGCUGUCUCCAGCAGAGGCUCAGUGAAAUCGAAAUCGCUGUGAAGAUGCAGUGUACCCGCGGCUAGACGGAAAGACCCCGUGAACCUUUACUGCAGCUUGACACUGAACUUUGACCUUACUUGUGUAGGAUAGGUGGGAGGCUUUGAAGCUGGAACGCUAGUUCCAGUGGAGCCGUCCUUGAAAUACCACCCUGGUAAUGUUGAGGUUCUAACUCUGUCCCGUGAUCCGGGACGAGGACCGUGUCUGGUGGGUAGUUUGACUGGGGCGGUCUCCUCCUAAAGAGUAACGGAGGAGUACGAAGGUGCGCUCAGCGUGGUCGGAAAUCACGCGUAGAGUAUAAAGGCAAAAGCGCGCUUAACUGCGAGACCCACAAGUCGAGCAGGUACGAAAGUAGGUCUUAGUGAUCCGGUGGUUCUGUAUGGAAGGGCCAUCGCUCAACGGAUAAAAGGUACUCUGGGGAUAACAGGCUGAUACCGCCCAAGAGUUCAUAUCGACGGCGGUGUUUGGCACCUCGAUGUCGGCUCAUCUCAUCCUGGGGCUGAAGCAGGUCCCAAGGGUAUGGCUGUUCGCCAUUUAAAGAGGUACGCGAGCUGGGUUUAGAACGUCGUGAGACAGUUCGGUCCCUAUCUACCGUGGGCGCUGGAAAUUUGAGAGGAUCUGCUCCUAGUACGAGAGGACCAGAGUGGACGAACCUCUGGUGUACCGGUUGUGACGCCAGUCGCAUCGCCGGGUAGCUAUGUUCGGAAGGGAUAACCGCUGAAAGCAUCUAAGCGGGAAGCCUACCUCAAGAUAAGAUUUCCCUAGGACUUUAUGUCCUCUAAAGAGCCGUUCGAGACUAGGACGUUGAUAGGUUGGAUGUGGAAGCAUAGUGAUAUGUGAAGCUGACCAAUACUAAUUGCUCGUGAGGCUUGACU
rnacentral:rRNA from 1 species